AUGAAACCUCGCGCCUGUGCGGUUGUGGGGAGAGGUGGAGGGGUGCCUUCUCAGGACCCCCCUCUGAGCCCAGAGAAGGUGCUGCAGUGGGAGAGCCUGGGAAAGCUGGUGCAGCCGGAGCCUAUGGCCUCGUGGGGGGACUCUCCCCACUCCGCAGCCCCACCGUGAAGGUGAGAGCCGGACCUGGCCACAAUGGACACUGGGCUUUGGCUGGACAGACACAGGGAUGAAUGAACCAGUAAUGAAUGAAUGAAUAAAUGAAUGGAAAGGGAAAGUUUCUCA
rnacentral:lncRNA from 1 species